rnacentral:rRNA from 1 species
CAGAGGGUGCAAACGUUGCUCGGAAUCACUGGGCGUAAAGGGCGUGUAGGCGGGAAGGAAAGUCAGAUAUGAAAUCCCUGGGCUCAACCCAGGAACUGCAUUUGAAACUCCCUUUCUUGAGUGUCGGAGAGGAAAGUGGAAUUCCUGGUGUAGAGGUGAAAUUCGUAGAUAUCAGGAGGAACACCGGUGGCGAAGGCGGCUUUCUGGACGACAACUGACGCUGAGACGCGAAAGCGUGGGGAGCAAACAGGAUUAGAUACCCUGGUAGUCCACGCUGUAAACGAUGAACACUAGGUGUCGUGGGUAUUGACCCCCGCGGUGCCGCAGCUAACGCAUUAAGUGUUCCGCCUGGGAAGUACGGUCGCAAGACUA